GUGCCAGCCGCCGCGGUAACACCGGCAGCCCAAGUGAUGGCCGAUAUUAUUGGGCCUAAAGCGUCCGUAGCUGGCCGCACAAGUCCGUCGGGAAAUCCACUCGCUCAACGAGUGGCCGUCCGGUGGAAACUCCACACCUUGGGACCGGAAGGCUCGAAGGGUACGGCCGGGGUAGGAGUGAAAUCCUGUAAUCCCGUCCGGACCACCGAUGGCGAAAGCACUUCGAGAAAACGGAUCCGACAGUGAGGGACGAAAGCUAGGGUCUCGAACCGGAUUAGAUACCCGGGUAGUCC
rnacentral:rRNA from 1 species